rfam:Zea mays cultivar B73 chromosome 5, whole genome shotgun sequence.
AUCCUGUGUGAUGAUGAGGUGAUUGCAUAUUUACUCGCCGGUCUUCCCGCUGAAUAUGAUCCAUUUGUUACGUCGCUAACCACCAGAACCGAGCCUGCUUCCCUUGAUGAUGUCUUCGCACACCUCCUAGCGUUCGAAGC